CAAUCACUGUCAUCUGGCUCCAACAUUGGGGAAAAAGGGCGACUGAAAUGACUUCAUUUCACUGGAGCUGGAAUCUAAAGAUUGUCGUAUCUGCGUCAACAAAGUGGUUGAACCUGGUGCUCGGAGCUCCUGCUGGAUGAUGCUGAGCAGCCGUUUGCAGGCGGAGCUGCAGGGCUCAGGCCAGGACAGGAACCUGUGGAAGAGCUGAUCAAGACUCACUCUAAGAAGAGCUGAGAAGAACAGGAGAGUGAGGGGAACCACCAGCUCAUACUGACUCUGCUCCAGGACCUGCAUGAAAAAUCCAGCGUGAAGUGAAACCCCUCAUCAAGGUGGAGAAUUCUGAUGGAGG